GUUUGUGCUGGUGUCAGUGGGAAGCUGCAGUGAAUGGCUGUGCACCAGUGACUGGAUAUAAGAGGUGGACCGUGGAGCAGCAGCAGCAGCUCUGGACCUGAGCCUGAAACGAGAAUCUCCUGCGCCAUUGUUGCCGCGGGCCUGGUUUCACGAUAGCAAAUCCAUCCCAGGCUGCCCGGACUCUACACUGCAGAGGUGGUGGUCGACACACAAUGGCAAAGCAAAUGACUAUCAGACUAUCUCUAUCUCGUGGCUGCCCCACUUUUCCACGCGGCACACAGACAAAGACAUCGCCUGGCUGAUGUACCAGCCUCCAGCAGCUGAAGAGCCAGAUACUUCCCCCCCCCGCUGCCCAACGCAAAGCUCCAAGGGGAAUGAGUUGUUGGAGGAACACCACAGCCAAUGAAUGCUAAUGAUGCUGCAUAUCUGCUGGAUGUGUAAUUAGGUAAUUAUCUGUUUACAAAAAUUGGCGUAAUUACUUUAUUGGGCGAUUAUAUGUCAGUGUUGUUAUAAAAAAGAAACUUUAAUGAAUUGAAUCGAUAAAUAAGUAAAUACAUAAAUUUAAUCAAGUCAGAUACAUCAACCUCCAGCCAUCGACUCAUCGAGCCACGUGCCUCAAAGCGUGUGUGUGUGUGGGGAGGGGGGGGGGUACUCCUCAGUGCAGUGACUGCACAGCGCCACAGCUCCCACGGUCAAACACAACAUGUUCAUUUCAAGAAAGAACUGAGGCACAUUUUGGACAAUAGACAAUAACACAGCCUAGAUCCUCAUGUCUUUAUUGUACAUUUUAGAAAAGAAUAACCUUGUAUAUAAAGUUAUCCCCUUGCACUGCUACU